rnacentral:tRNA from 1 species
GGAGAGGUGGCUCAGGGUAAAGAGCACUGGCUGCUCUUCCAGAGAUCCUGAGUUCAAUUCCCAGCCCCCG